UACGUAGGGGGCUAGCGUUGUCCGGAAUCAUUGGGCGUAAAGCGCGUGUAGGCGGUCCGGUAAGUCCGCUGUGAAAGUCGGGGGCUCAACCCUCGAAUGCCGGUGGAUACUGUCGGGCUAGAGUACGGAAGAGGCGAGUGGAAUUCCUGGUGUAGCGGUGAAAUGCGCAGAUAUCAGGAGGAACACCAAUUGCGAAGGCAGCUCGCUGGGACGUUACUGACGCUGAGACGCGAAAGC
rnacentral:rRNA from 1 species